AUGUCUAGUGAUAAAAAAUUAGAAGACCAUUCAGUCACUGCAAGAGAUCGCGACUUGGUCACUGCUGAUGCGCCUUCUGUCACUUUAGUCGGGAGUGAGCGAUGCGUUGUAAAUUCUGCUCCUGAUGGGCCUACUGAAAACAUAUCCAUGCUUGACGAGAUGAGGAAUAUCCCUUUGUCUGCUAGUUCAUUUUCGAAAAAAAAAUUAAGGGAUGCAUACGCUCAGAACAGCUACGCACGGAGCAGGGCUCCAGCUUUGCGGAUGUCGAGAAGUUCAUUGAGUGUUGUAAACAGAAAAGUUCAGGGUUCUUGUAAGCUUUUGGGUGAAACCAGUUUGGCUUCUGUUGAUUUGGUUUCUGAUGACAAUAAGGAAGAUUUGACUGUUCUUAAAUACCCAGAGCAUGACAAAGCGAACUCAGGCGCCCUUUCUAUGCUGGAUGAGGUUUGUGUGCAUUCAAGUGUAGGCAUCUUCAAUCAACCUGGAACUCCUGGGGCUAGUGACUGCAAUAAAAAUUUGUCUUCUACUGCUAAGGUAGAUAAUACCUGUGACAGCGAAGCAUCUCAAAAUGGAGCUUCAGCGCUAAAAUUAAAAUCAAAUGGUGCAUCAAGUUUUCCCAUGCAGUCAACAGUAAUUUUCAAGAGAAAAAGGAAGCCAAAUAGAAAUUGGGUUCCUCAUGCUACAGAUUGUAUGACACCCAAUAAAGGCGAGGAAUUCGAGGUUGAGUUGAGUGGAAGACUCACAGAUUCUCCAAAUUCGAAGAAUGAAUUUAAUAAGUCAGACGGAGAUGAACACUUGCCGUUGGUCAAAAGAGCAAGGGUUCGAAUGGGAAGGCCUCAGUCAGUGGCUUCACCAAAGACAGUUGGCCAGAUUGAUGUUGCUAAUAAUAGAUCAGGGCUUGCUGCACCUGCUGACCACUCUGUUAUGCAUAUUAGCAAUGCUUCUUCAGCUGAUCAGUCAUCCAUAUUAAACGUGCCUGUCCUGCUAGGGGAUGGUCACUCUGUCUGGAAGAAUAAAGAAUACCAACCAAGUGGUUUAACAUUGGAUGUGGAAGCUGCUUUGCCACCAUCAAAACGCCUCCAUCGUGCUUUAGAAGCUAUGUAUGCUAAUGUUGUGGAAACUAUUAGUAGUCUUCCUGAAGAGAGAGGAUCAAAGCAGUUGAUUCUAAAUGGUUGUGUGUCUGCAGAAAACAGCCAUUCUAGUAAAUCGGCAGACACAGUAGUCACAAGCCCUAACAGAUCUGGAAUAAUUGAAAGCCUUGGAUCAUCAGGCAUGCAAUUAAUGCAUAGCUCAACAGGCCAAACACACACCUCAGGAUCAAUUUUACAGAAUAAAAAUGUAGUUGUUUCCAUGAAACUGAAUGAGCCUGCCCUUGAUGUGACACAGACCAUAGCUGUACAUGACCGGUUAUCAUCUUCUCGGAAACCUAGCUGUAAUGAUGUCUCCAAGCUAAUCAGCUACAUUAGUGAUACAAAACCAAUCGGCUGCCCUGCUUCUGAUGUUAAUAGGAGUGAUGACAGAUGCGGCGAGCCAGUUGACCAACCAAAGUCUCUUCUCUCUGAUAAUAAUGUGGACAGUGAUUCAGUAUCAUGUGGUGAUACUGUUUUAGCAUCAGCAAUCAAUAUUUGUGAUACCACAAGCACCUCUUCAUUUGCUACCAAGUCUUCUAGUAUACAGUCUGAUGCAGAUACCCGAACAUUUGAAGUAAUGAUGUUACCAUGUAAUGCAUAG
rnacentral:rRNA from 1 species